GUGGGGAAUUUUGGACAAUGGGCGAAAGCCUGAUCCAGCCAUGCCGCGUGUGUGAAGAAGGUCUUCGGAUUGUAAAGCACUUUAAGUUGGGAGGAAGGGCAGUAAGUUAAUACCUUGCUGUUUUGACGUUACCGACAGAAUAAGCACCGGCUAACUUCGUGCCAGCAGUCGCGGUAAUACGAAGGGUGCAAGCGUUAAUCGGAAUUACUGGGCGUAAAGCGCGCGUAGGUGGUUCAGCAAGUUGAAGGUGAAAUCCCCGGGCUCAACCUGGGAACUGCCUCCAAAACUACUGAGCUAGAGUACGGUAGAGGGUAGUGGAAUUUCCUGUGUAGCGGUGAAAUGCGUAGAUAUAGGAAGGAACACCAGUGGCGAAGGCGACUACCUGGACUGAUACUGACACUGAGGUGCGAAAGCGUGGGGAGCAAACAGGAUUAGAUACCCGGGUAGUCC
rnacentral:rRNA from 1 species